GAUGAAGAACGCAGCGAAAUGCGAUAAUUAAUGUGAAUUGCAGAAUUCAGUGAAUCAUCGAAUCUUUGAACGCACAUUGCGCCCGCCAGUAUUCUGGCGGGCAUGCCUGUUCGAGCGUCAUUUCAACCAUCAAGCCCCCGGGCUUGUGUUGGGGACCUGCGGCUGCCGCAGGCCCUGAAAAGCAGUGGCGGGCUCGCUGUCACACCGAGCGUAGUAGAUUUUAUCUCGCUCUGGGCGUGCUGCGGGUUCCGGCCGUUAAACCACCCUUUUAACCCAAGGUUGACCUCGGAUCAGGUAGGAAGACCCGCUGAACUUAAGCAUAUCAAUAAGCGGAGGA
rnacentral:misc_RNA from 1 species